GACGAACGCUGGCGGCGUGCCUAAUACAUGCAAGUCGAACGCAGUGGGGACGGGGGAGGAACACGUGGGUAACCUCCCAUCAGAGGGGAUAACACUUGGAAACAGGUGCUAAACCGAUACUGAUGGAUGAACCCGCGGUGCAUUAGCUAGUUGGGGGGGUAACGGCUCACCAAGGCCACGAUGCAUAGCCGACCUGGGAGGGUGGUCGGCCACACUGGGACUGGGACACGGCCCAGACUCCUACGAGAGGCAGCCGUAGGACAUCUUCGGCAAUGGACGAAAGUCUGACCGAGCAACUCCGCGUGAGUGAAGAAGGUUUUCGGAUCGUAAAACUCUGUUGUUAGAGAAGCGGUAUCUACCCAGAAAGCCACGGCUAACUCCGUGCCAGCCGCCGCGGUAAUUC
rnacentral:rRNA from 1 species